rnacentral:rRNA from 1 species
UACGUAGGGGGCAAGCGUUGUCCGGAAUUAUUGGGCGUAAAGAGCUCGUAGGCGGUUUGUCGCGUCUGCUGUGAAAACGCGAGGCUCAACCUCGCGCCUGCAGUGGGUACGGGCAGACUAGAGUGCGGUAGGGGAGAUUGGAAUUCCUGGUGUAGCGGUGGAAUGCGCAGAUAUCAGGAGGAACACCGAUGGCGAAGGCAGAUCUCUGGGCCGUAACUGACGCUGAGGAGCGAAAGCGUGGGGAGCGAACAGG